GUGGGUCCCCUCUUCCUUCCCCACCCUACCCCGCACACUCACGGGCUCUCCCAGGGCAGCGCCCAGGCCCGCGUGCCCAGUGUCUCAGACUGGUUCUGGCCUGGCUGACCUCCCCGACCAGAGGAAGGGCUGGGCCGCUGGCGUUGGGGUACCGACCCCGGCCUCCCCACAACACAGUUCCUGGAAAACUUAAAAAGCGCUUUAGUGAGAUGAGAUGACAGUUCGGUGGAAACCCACAUGCCACAGGCCCGGGCUUCAGAGUGUGUUUCUGGGCGCUCUCUUCAGUUGAGGGGUCGUUUUUGUCCCUUUCUUCCGAAACUUUCCUGUCUUUGAAUGAGCCUGCUCCUGAAACAGGUUCUAACUUUGAGCAAGUUUCAUGGGGCGAAAGUUGGAAACCAUCUAGAGGCUCCUGUUGGAGGGACUAUUAAGGACAUACGGUCACUAACCACGGGGUGGCCAGCGGGUGCCCAAAUGUGACCCCCAACGUGGGGACCUGCAUCUGUAUUGGGAGCAGGUAUGGGAUCCCAAGCCUUACUUGGCUUUUCUGACUUCUGCAGUGACCUUGCUUUGCUUUCAGUAAGGAUGGAGCAGAGCUGGGGGAGGAGGCGUAAACGGCAACAGAAAAGAACCCCAGAAUUUUCAGGCAGAUUCUUUAUCUUCUGAGCCACCAGGGAGGCCCCAAACUUUCGUCCUACCUGCUGAUGUUGGACUACUGUUCCUUGUAAAUCAUGAAGCAUCCAGAGGGUCAGCC
ensembl:lncRNA